rnacentral:piRNA from 1 species
GAUGAUGAGGAUAGGCCGGGGCUCGUUGC